rnacentral:rRNA from 1 species
CCUACGGGGUGCAGCAGUGAGGAAUAUUCGUCAAUGGGCGCGAGUCUGAACCAACCAAGUCGCGUGAGGGAAGACGGUCCUAUGGACUGUAAACCUCUUUUGUCGGGGAGCACAAGACGCCACGCGUGGCGUUCCGAGAGUAACCGUAGCAUACGCAUCGGCUAACUCUGUGCCCGCAGCCGCGGUAAUACGGAGGCUGCGAGCGUUAUCCGGAUUUAUUGGGUUUAAAGGGUGCGCAGGCGGAAGAUCAAGUCAGCGGUAAAAUUGAGAGGCUUAACCUCUUCGAGCCGUUGAAACUGGUUUUCUUGAGUGAGCGAGAAGUAUGCGGAAUGCGUGGUGUAGCGGUGAAAUGCAUAGAUAUCACGCAGAACUCCGAUUGCGAAAGCAGCAUACCGGCGCUCAACUGACGCUCAGGCACGAAAGUGUGGGUAUCGAACAGGAUUAGAUACCCGAGUAGUC